rnacentral:rRNA from 1 species
UACGUAGGGUGCGAGCGUUGUCCGGAAUUAUUGGGCGUAAAGAGCUUGUAGGUGGUUUGUCGCGUCUGCUGUGAAAAUCCGAGGCUCAACCUCGGACUUGCAGUGGGUACGGGCAGACUAGAGUGUGGUAGGGGAGACUGGAAUUCCUGGUGUAGCGGUGAAAUGCGCAGAUAUCAGGAGGAACACCGAUGGCGAAGGCAGGUCUCUGGGCCACUACUGACGCUG